AUUGAACGCUGGCGGCAUGCCUUACACAUGCAAGUCGAACGGCAGCACGGGAGCAAUCCUGGUGGCGAGUGGCGAACGGGUGAGUAAUAUAUCGGAACGUGCCCAGUCGUGGGGGAUAACGCAGCGAAAGCUGUACUAAUACCGCAUACGAUCUAAGGAUGAAAGCGGGGGAUCGCAAGACCUCGCGCGAUUGGAGCGGCCGAUAUCAGAUUAGCUAGUUGGUGGGGUAAAGGCCCACCAAGGCGACGAUCUGUAGCUGGUCUGAGAGGACGACCGGCCAGACUGGAACUGAGACACGGUCCAGACUCCUACGGGAGGCAGCAGUGGGGAAUUUUGGACAAUGGGCGCAAGCCUGAUCCAGCAAUGCCGCGUGCAGGAUGAAGGCUUUCGGGUUGUAAACUGCUUUUGUACGGAACGAAACGGCCCUUUCUAAUAUCGCGACGGGAUGACGGUAUCUGAAGAAUAAGGACCGGCUAACUACGUGCCAGCCGCCGCAGUAA
rnacentral:rRNA from 1 species